AGGACGAACGCUGGCGGCGUGCCUAAUACAUGCAAGUCGAACGGUCUUUUCUAUGGAAGCUUGCUUCCACUGAGAAGAUAGUGGCGAACGGGUGAGUAACACGUGGGUAACCUGCCCAUAAGAGGGGGAUAACAUCCGGAAACGGGUGCUAAUACCGCAUAGUUUUCUUGAUCGCAUGAUCGGGAAAGGAAAGACGGCCUUUGUGCUGUCGCUUAUGGAUGGACCCGCGGCGUAUUAGUUAGUUGGUGAGGUAACGGCUCACCAAGACGAUGAUACGUAGCCGACCUGAGAGGGUGAUCGGCCACAUUGGGACUGAGACACGGUCCAGACUCCUACGGGAGGCAGCAGUGGGGAAUAUUGCACAAUGGGCGAAAGCCUGAUGCAGCCAACGCCGCGUGAAUGAUGAAGGCCUUCGGGUCGUAAAGUUCUUUGAUCAGGGAUGAUAAUGACAGUACCUGAAAAACAAGCCACGGCUAACUACGUGCCAGCCGCAGC
rnacentral:rRNA from 1 species